ACGUGGGCGGCCGUAAAGCGCCCCGCCCCCCGAGCCUCCGCCGGCACCAUGGCCGGCUUCGCGCCGCGGGUCCAGUACUUGGCGGGCUUCCGCUGCCCGCUCGGAGGCCUGGCGGCGGGCAAGCCCCGCGUGCUGUGCCGCGGCGCCGAGAUCUUCGUGUCCACCGGGAGCGAGCUCGUCUACGUCUACGACCAGGAAGGGAAUCUGCUGACCGCCGUCUUCAGGUUUCCUGGUCGGGUGUGGCACCUGGAGCUCUCGGCCCUCGGCGGGGUGCUCUACGUGUUGUGCGCCCAGAAAGGCGUCUACUGCGUGUCGUUGGACCAGGCGAGCAGGUCCGUGAGCCAAGGUGACGGGGAUGACAGCGACAAGAAUGAUGAGGACAGUGAGGACGGCGAGCCCCCUUGCCCCGUGAUCCCCGUGGACCCAGAUGCCUGCAUCCUCCCUGACGCCACACUGUGUGCUUUCGUCGUGCUCGAUGACAUACUGGUCACCCUGGCACAGGGCCCUGCCCAGUGGAAGGUACAGCUGUUCCGGUGUCGCCGUCCAGGGGAGGACGCCAGGCCCCCAGGCCAGGUCGGCGAGGUGGAGUUGUCCACUUCCAGCCCUCUGGCUGGGAGCCUUGGGGAGCCCACAGCCCCCCACUUCCUCCCAGUGCUGUGCUGUGUGUCACCACCGGGCUGCAGCGGGCUGCGUGGCCGUAUGCGGGGCUCUGGGGGCUUCACGCUGGAACGGGCCCUCUUCGGGCUGCUCUUUGGAGUUGACGCCUCCCUCUUGGAAUCACCUGCGAUCCUCUGUGGUCUCCCUGAUGGCCAGCUCUGCUGUGUGGUCUUGAAGACUCUGGUCACCUCCAGGUUGGCCCCUGGUGACCCAAAGGCCCUUGUCAAGAUCCUCCAUCACCUGGAGGAACCCGUCGUUUCCAUCGGGGCGUUGAGGACAGAGUCCUCGGGCGAGAACGUGGAGGACGCACACCCAGACUGCCUAGUGGCGCUGGGUCGCCACGGCCGGGUGCUGGCCGUCAAGGCCAGCUGGGACGAGGCGGGGGAUCUGGUGCCGGAGCUGCAGGAGUACCGGCUCCCAGGGCCUGUGCUGUGCGCAGCCUGUGGCGGAGGCGGCCGUGUGUACCACAGCACCGCCUCGGACCUCUGCGUCGUGGACCUGGCUCGGGGAGGCGCCCCCCAGGACCCCGUGCAGCCUGACAGGGGCCCGGGAAGCCUGCCCUCUCUGCUGUGUCCAGCCAGCUUAAGCGUGUGCAGCGUCGUCACGCUCUCCGUGUUGUCCGAGGUGCCUGAAGGUGGCACCAGGCUCCUGGCCUUGUCUGCCAGGGGCCGCCUGAUGACCUGUAGCCUGGACCUGAGCUCCGAGGCGCCCUGCCCCGCCAGAGCGACAGUGGUGAACACUGGCCAGAAAAUUAAGGAGCUGCUCUCUGGAAUCGGCACCGUCUCUGAGAGGGUGUCUUCUCUGAAGAAGGCAGUUGACCAGCGUAACCGGGCCCUCAUGUGCCUCAAUGAAGCCAUGAACGUGAGCUGCGUCCUGCUGGCGAGCCGCGAGGGCCCCAGGCCCAUCUCGUGUACCACUGCCACCGCCUGGAGCCGCGCGGAGCUGCAGGACGUGCUGACGGCCACCUGCCGGCUGCAGAACGGCAGCGGCUUCAGUCUGGACCGGGGCUGGACUUGGUGUGUGCGGGUACGUACCUGCUCCCGCGCCUCAGACCCAGACUCGGCCGGCUCGGCCGCCACCUACACCAUCCCCGUGGACCGGCUGGGCCCCGGCGACCGGCGGGAGGUGACGCUGCCCCUGGGUCCCGGUGAGGACGGCGCGCUGGACCUGCCUGUGACGGUGUCCUGUGCGCUCCACUACAGCCUCAGGGAGGUUGUGGGUGGGGCCCUCGCCCCCCCAGACUCUUCCGAGGACCCCUCCUUGGAAGGGUGCCCCCCCGACAUGUUGCCUGAGCAAGACGGCGUCUGCCUGCCCCUGAGCGAGCACACCGUGGACGUGCUGCAGUGUCUGCGCUUUCCUGGCCUGGCCGCGCCCCCCACGCGGGCCCCCAGCCCGCGCAGCCCCGCUGGCGACCCUGUGGACACCUUCUUGGGAGCGCGCCUCGGGCCGGGCAGCGAACCGGCCGGACCCGCUUCCCUGCGGGCCAAGUUCCCGCCCCCGUCGGUGGCCACCAUCAAGGUGUCAGCAGGGCUUCUGAGGGCCGCCCUGGGGGACGGUCAGCCAGGUGUGUCCCUGGGCUGUACCACCCUGCAGUGGCUGCUUGCCGAGAACAGCGCCCUGGACGUCGUGAGGGCCCGACUGCUGUCCUCCGUCCGGGGAGUGGCCCCCGACGGCACUGACCUCCACCUUGUCGUCCGAGAGGUGACGGUGACCCACCUGUGCGCGGCAGGGCCCAUGCAGGCCGUGGAGAUCCAAGUGGAGAGCUCCUCUCUAGCCAAUCUGUGCCAGGCACACCAUGCUGUCAUUGGGCGUCUGCAGGUGAGCUGUGGGCAGCUGAGGGGUGAGUAGGGCAGCUUUGCUGAUGGCACUUCAGUAACGCACCGCCAUCUGGUGUGCCGGCGGCCCCCCAGCGCGUCCGCGAACCCACGUGGGCACUGCAUCAAAAGAGGACGUUCCGUGUGCUGCCUGUCACGCUCACGUGCAGGCCUCCCAACUUGCCUGGCUGUGCCGAGAGGCCGUGCCCUGGCGAGAUGCCCCGAACGUGGGUCCUGGGACAAGGUGCCUACACUCUGAACCUCCACAUCUCUGCCAAGAAAGCAGGAGUGAUGGCCAACCUCUCACACGCCUUUGGGGCCCGUUUUGCCACCUGGCAUGGGAUGAGCUGUCACAUUGCUGUCCUCGGGUUCCAGAUGAAACCUGCCACCUGGUGCCCUUGGCGGGACAGAGCUCUGGCUCCGAGGUUGGCCGGCCUAUCUCCUCCCACCUGUUCUGAACGAGGCCUUGACAGUCAUAGAGGGGUCUGCGGUGGUAACCGUCGGCCGAUGGUGACAGCUCUGCGGUAUGGCUCGGGAACCAGCCUCCCCCUGGAACUUACCAGAGCACAUUCCCAGGCCCCAUCCCAGACCUGGGAAUCGGAGAACCCGCGGUCUUGGCGUUUAGGCUUUGACGAGGACCUGAGUGGUGGUGGUCUAGACUCUCCGGUGCACCCUGGGGAGCCUGGAGCCCUCACCAGCCCAGGCAGGUGGGCGCUACUCAGGAGCCUGUGACCCCAGCGGUCCCCCCACGCAACACUGAUGGCACACGUGCCCACCGUGGCACAUGCGGCUCAGGGAUCUAGUCCUGAGUGUGUCGAGCUGUCAGAGGGGUGUGGGCCUGGUGGGGACACCAGCCCCCGGAUUGGUUCUUGUUCCCUGUGCCCAGAGAGGGGCCUCUUCGACCGUCCUCUCGCUCCUGCCAGGCCGUCUCCAGACAUGCCGAGCACGGCAGCCAGGAGGUUGACGCUUAACGUGGCACCCGGGAAGGAGCGUGCUGACCCGACCACUGGCAGGGAGGGGACGUUCGUGUCCAGGUGCCACGACAACCACAGCCUGGGCACGAACGGCAGGAACUGCGUGCCGGAGGCUGAGGCCUCUCCGUGGUGCACAGACAGCCGUGUUCUCCUGUGUCUUUCCGCGGCUGUCCUCUGUGCACGUCUGCACGCUUCUUACAAGGACGCCGCUCGCGUCGGUUUAGGGCCCACCCACGUGGCCUCCUCUUCCCUUGUUCGUUGGCAAAGACCACAGCUCAGAGGACAGUCAUGGGCUGAGCUGCUGGGGGCAGCUUCCACGUAUGGAUCUGGGGGCAGGUUUGGCUCCUAACAGGGAGCUGCAGACGCUCCCUUAAUAGGAGCAUUCAGGCGGACUGCAGGCCGCGGUCUGUCCUGUCAGCUGACACCGUGCUCCACGUAACGGUUGCCCCCCCACACACACACAUGGUCUUCCUGCAGCGGCUGCCACGGGCCGGCACCUCCUGCCAGAUGUCAGUGCUUUGCCGCAAAGGCUGGUGGGGCCUCGCCGCCUGAGCCCGAGCCUGUCUGGGGGCUUGGAUCUGAGCUCCCAGGAGCUGCCUGGGUUUCCCCAGAAAGCAAAUGGGGCAGGUGGGGUGGCCCCCGCGAGGGCAGCAGCUGGCGCCAGUCCUGACACCAAGGAGGAGAGAAGGGCUCUGCGAGGACGAGGGAGGGAGUGGGCAGCAGAGGAACGGGGAGCGAGAAGGACGUUCCUUCCGAGUAACCUGCUGGGGCCGCAGCAGCCCAUGCAGAGGGGCCCUCGGAGGUGAUGGGGCCCCAGCACCCCCUCCAGAUGGGAGGUGGGAAGUGUCCUCUCCAACCACCUGCCCCUUGUCCCCCCACCAGAGGAUGGUUGUGGAACAGGCCGCCCACAGCUCCAGCCCACCCGACCUCCGUGUUCAGUGUCUCCACCAGAUCCAGGUCAACCACGAGACGCUGCUGCGGGAGGUGCAGACCCUGCGGGACCGGCUGAGUACAGACGAUGAGGCCAGCUCG